ensembl:snRNA U6 U6 spliceosomal RNA
GUGUACCCACUUUAGCAGCAUAGAUCCUAAAACCGGAACAAUAUGAGGAAGAUUAGCAUGGUCCCUGAACAAAGAUGACACAAAAAUUCGAGAAGCAUUCCAUGUUUUU